rnacentral:misc_RNA from 1 species
GAAAUGCGAUACGUAGUGUGAAUUGCAGAAUUCAGUGAAUCAUCGAAUCUUUGAACGCACAUUGCGCCCUUUGGUAUUCCAAAGGGCAUGCCUGUUCGAGCGUCAUUUGUACCCUCAAGCUUUGCUUGGUGUUGGGCGUCUUUUGUCUUUGGCCUCGCCCAAAGACUCGCCUUAAAACGAUUGGCAGCCGGCCUACUGGUUUCGCAGCGCAGCACAUUUUUGCGCUUGCAAUCAGCACAAGAACGGCAAUCCAUCAAGACUACAUUUUUACGUUUGACCUCGGAUCAGGUAGGUAUACCCGCUGAACUUAAGC